CCCUUAGAUGUUCUGGGCCGCACGCGCGUUACACUGAUGCAUUCAACGAGCUUAUAACCUUGGCCGAGAGGCCUGGGCAAUCUUGUUAACGUGCAUCGUGAUAGGGAUAGAUUAUUGAAAUUAUUAAUCUUGAACGAGGAAUUCCUGGUAAACGCAGAUCAUCAAUCUGCAUUGAUUACGUCCCUGCCCUUUGUACACACCGCCCGUCGCACCUACCGAUUGGAUGGUCCGGUGAAGCCUCGGGAUUGUGGUUCUUGCCGCUUUAUUGUGGCGUGACCGCGAGAACUUGUCUAAACCUUAUCAUCUAGAGGAAGGUGAAGUCGUAACA
rnacentral:rRNA from 1 species